rnacentral:rRNA from 1 species
GGCUUAGAGUUUGAUCAUGGCUCAGGACGAACGCUGGCGGCGUGCCUAACACAUGCAAGUCGAACGGAAGUAUGAGCUUCGGUUUUUACUUUAGUGGUGAACGGGUGAGUAACGCGUGAGGAACCUGCCUUUCAGUGGGGGACAACAGUUGGAAACGACUGCUAAUACCGCAUAAUGUUUCCGGUCUGCAUGGACUGGAAACCAAAGCUUUAUGUGCUGAAAGAUGGCCUCGCGUCUGAUUAGAUAGUUGGUGGGGUAACGGCCUACCAAGUCAACGAUCAGUAGCCGGUCUGAGAGGAUGAACGGCCACAUUGGGACUGAGAUACGGCCCAGACUCCUACGGGAGGCAGCAGUGGGGAAUAUUGGGCAAUGGGGGAAACCCUGACCCAGCAACGCCGCGUGAAGGAAGGAGGCCUUCGGGUUGUAAACUUCUUUUACCAGGGACGAAGGACGUGACGGUACCUGGAGAAAAAGCAACGGCUAACUACGUGCCAGCAGCCGCGGUAAUACGUAGGUUGCAAGCGUUGUCCGGAUUUACUGGGUGUAAAGGGCGUGUAGGCGGAGCUGCAAGUCAGAUGUGAAAUCCCGGGGCUCAACCCCGGAACUGCAUUUGAAACUGUAGCCCUUGAGUAUCGGAGAGGCAAGCG